rnacentral:rRNA from 1 species
CUGGCUCAGGAUGAACGCUAGCGGCAGGCUAACACAUGCAAGUCGAGGGGCAACGCGAGUAGCAAUACUUGGCGGCGACCGGCGCAAGGGUGCGUAACGCGUGAGCAACAUGCCCGUAUCAGGGGGAUAAUCCAGGGAAACUUGGUCUAAUACCCCAUAGUAAUUUUGUAAGGCAUCUUAUAAGAUUUAAAGCUUUGGUGGAUACGGAUUGGCUCGCGUGACAUUAGCUGGAUGGUAAGGUAACGGCUUACCAUGGCUAUGAUGUCUAGGGGUUCUGAGAGGAAGGUCCCCCACACUGGAACUGAGACACGGUCCAGACUCCUACGGGAGGCAGCAGUGAGGAAUAUUGGACAAUGGAUGGAAAUCUGAUCCAGCCAUGCCGCCGUGAAGGAAGAAGGUCCUAUGGAUUGUAAACUUCUUUUGUAUGGGAGCAAUAAGGCCUACGAGUAGGUUGAUGAGAGUACCAUACGAAUAAGCACCGGCUAACUCCGUGCCAGCCGCCGC